AAACCGUGCAAAGGUAGCAUAAUCACUUGUCCCCUAAAUAGGGACUAGUAUGAAUGGUCAAAUGAGGACUAAACUGUCUCUUGCAUUUAACCAAUAAAACUGAUCUCUCAGUUAAAAAGCUGAGAUAUAAACAUAAGACGAGAAGACCCUGUGGAGCUUCAAACCAAGCCCAACCCUAAUGGGUGUUCGGUUUUUAGUUGGGGCGACUUCGGAGUACAAAAAAACCUCCGACACAACCAUAUCAAGACCAACACGUCAACAUAUGUUUUUACUGACCCGGUAUUUAAUAAAAUAUCCGAUCAAUGAACCAAGUUACCCCAGGGAUAACAGCGCUAUCCCCUUCUAGAGUCCUUAUCGACAAGGGGGUUUACGACCUCGAUGUUGGAUCAGGACACCCAAAUAGUGCAGCCGCUAUUAAAGGUUCGUUUGUUCAACGAUUAAUAGUCCUACGUGAUCUGG
rnacentral:rRNA from 1 species